UACGAAGGGGGGCUAGCGUUGUUCGGAAUUACUGGGCGUAAAGGGCGCGUAGGCGGUGUGUCAAGUCAGGCGUGAAAGCCCCGGGCUCAACCUGGGAACCGCGCUUGAGACUGGCACGCUCGAGUUCGGGAGAGGAUGGUGGAAUUCCCAGUGUAGAGGUGAAAUUCGUAGAUAUUCGCAAGAACACCAGUGGCCGAAGGCGGCUCACUGGCCCGAUACUGACGCUGAGGCACGGAAAGCGUGGGGAGCAAACAGG
rnacentral:rRNA from 1 species